rnacentral:rRNA from 1 species
AUGAUUUCUAUUUUAAGAACAAAUCUUCCUUGUACUGGUGCAGCAAUUAUUUAUUCACUGUAUACAAUGAAUAUGUUCCCGGUUGAUUGCUUUCAAGAUUGCAGUGCAUUACUCAACUAUCAAAGUAAACUAUUGAAAACAGAGGACAAGAACAAGCUCUGCAUGCAUGUUCUUCAGGAGCUACAAAUAGCAAGUUUGCUUGUUGGCUCCAACAGUUGGCAUUGUGCAACCAAUGUGGUGACAAGAUGUCACCAUAGAGCUCAGCGACGCGUUCUCGACCUCGGCAGAGGCAUUUCUCCUGAGCAAGCAUAUGACAUACUCCAUCACUUCGGCAACACAAGGCAGUGUGAUCUUGCCAUGGCUUGA